UAUACUGUACUAAGUCGGGGGAUACGGACCAGCGCGUGCAUGGCUCCUCUCAGCAGGGUCUUCUCGGUCCCAGGCCCCCUGACGAGGGCGUGCCUCACAGCUGGCAGGGUCCCGGGUUGCUCUACCUUAGCGGCUGCUGUUCCUGUUCUGCCGCCGUGGGAGACCCAGCACUCCUCUCCAAAGGCAGUUGGGAAAUCUGAGAAACGUACUGAGCGCCUGCUGUGUACCUGUCACUCUGUGUUUCACGGUAUGCAAGUAGUUGGAAUGGCCAGCAAGACAUAGUACCACACAAGAAAAAGCUUUUAGCCUUGCAGCCUGAGACCACCAGGGACAAUCUUUAGACAAGUGGUCUGGAACUCAGCCUAUCGUAUCUCUAUGGAAUACCCAUAUACAAUUUGAUGAGUCUGACAUACACCUUUGAAACAACAAUCAAGAUCAUUCUCCACUGAAUUCUAGGAGAAAUCUAAGGGCAACAUCUCAUGACCUGGCAAUAAAGAGGAUGAAUCAGAAAGAAA